UACAGAGGUCCCAAGCGUUGUUCGGAUUCACUGGGCGUAAAGGGUGCGUAGGCGGUCGGGUAAGUCUGAUGUGAAAUCUCACAGCUUAACUGUGAAACUGCAUUGGAUACUAUUCGGCUUGAGAGUUGGAGGGGGGACUGGAAUUCUUGGUGUAGCAGUGAAAUGCGUAGAUAUCAAGAGGAACACCAGUGGCGAAGGCGAGUCCCUGGACAACUUCUGACGCUGAGGCACGAAAGCCAGGGGAGCGAACGGG
rnacentral:rRNA from 1 species